AACGAACGCUGGCGGCAUGCCUAACACAUGCAAGUCGAACGAACCCUUCGGGGUUAGUGGCGCACGGGUGCGUAACGCGUGGGAAUCUGCCCUUGGCUUCGGAAUAACAGUUAGAAAUGACUGCUAAUACCGGAUGAUGUCUUCGGACCAAAGAUUUAUCGGCCAGGGAUGAGCCCGCGUAGGAUUAGGUAGUUGGUGGGGUAAAGGCCUACCAAGCCGACGAUCCUUAGCUGGUCUGAGAUGAUGAUCAGCCACACUGGGACUGAGACACGGCCCAGACUCCUACGGGAGGCAGCAGUGGGGAAUAUUGAACAAUGGGCGCAAGCCUGAUCCAGCAAUGCCGCGUGGGUGAUGAAGGCCUUAGGGUCGUAAAGCUCUUUUACCCGGGAUGAUAAUGACAGUACCGGGGGAAUAAGCUCCGGCUAACUCCGUGCCAGCCGCCGCCGUAA
rnacentral:rRNA from 1 species